AUGUCAUGGUGUGGACAUUUCCUAAGCAUAUCAUUUAAUCAUUCCCAUGCCUCAUGAAACAUUUCCCCAUCCCCUAAUGAGAAUUCAUGUAACAAAUCAAACUUCUGAGUCU